rnacentral:rRNA from 1 species
AUUGAACGCUGGCGGCAGGCCUAACACAUGCAAGUCGAGCGAGCGGCGGACGGGUGAGUAAUGUCUGGGAAAAUGCCUGAUGGAGGGGGAUAACUACUGGAAACGGUAGCUAAUACCGCAUACCAUCGGAUGUGCCCAGAUGGGAUUAGCUAGUAGGUGGGGUAACGGCUCACCUAGGCGACGAUCCCUAGCUGGUCUGAGAGGAUGACCAGCCACACUGGAACUGAGACAAGGUCCAGACUCCGACGGGAGGCAGCAGUGGGGAAUAUUGCACAAUGGGCGCAAGCCUGAGGCAGCCAUGCCGCGUGUUUGAAGAAGGCCUUCGGGUUGUAAAGCACUUUCAGCGGGGAGGCGUUACCCGCAGAAGAAGCACCGGCUAACUCCGUGCCAGCAGCCGCGGUAAUUC